GCGCCCUUAGCUCAGCCGGCAGAGCAACUGACUCUUAAUCAGUGGGUCGAAGGUUCGAUUCCUUCAGGGCGCA
rnacentral:tRNA from 2 species